AAGCUGUAGAUACUAUAGGAGCUGUAGUCUCUGUAGAUGCUGUAGAUAUUGUAGAAUCUGUAGAUGCUGUAGACUGAGAAGAUGUGGAUGAGACUGUAGAAGCUGUAGGCUCUGUAGAUGCUGUAGAGGCUGUAGACUGAGCAGAUGUGACUGGUGCACUAAUGGUUGAUGACUCAGUAAGAGUUGUUGUGACAGAGGUAGAACCUGUUGGGGUUAAAGUUGUUGGUUUUGUGCAUGGAUUUGAACAAACUAUAGUUGAGGGUGCAUUUGUUGUUGUGGCUGUUGUGGAGGAUUCAGUUGUUGUGGAUGUUUCUACUGCACUAGUGGUGGAUGUUUCAGGAGCAGUCGUUGUGAUUGUGGAAGUCUCCGUUGUUGUAGAUGUUUCUACUGCACUAGUGGUGGAUGGUUCAGGAGCAGUCGUUGUGAUUGUGGAGGUCUCUGUCGUAGUAGAUGUUUCUGCUGCACUGGUGGUGGAUGUUUCCGGUUCAGUCGUUGUGAUUGUGGAUGUCUCAGUGGUUGUAGAUGUUUCUGCCGCAUUAGUGGUAGAUGUUUCCGGUGGAGUCGUUGUGAUUGUGGAGGUCUCUGUUGUUAUAGAUGUUACUGCUGCACUAGUAGUGGAUGUUUCUGGUGCAGUCAUUGUGACUGUGGAAGUCUCUGUUGUUGUAGAUGUUUCUGGUGCACUAGAGGUGGAUGUUUCAGGAGCAGUUGAUGUGAUUGUGGAGGUCUCUGUUGUGGUAGAUGUUUCUGGUGCAGUCAUUGUGACUGUGGAAGUCUCUGUUGUUGUAGAUGUUUCUACUGCAGUAGUGGUUGAUUUUUCAGGAGCUGUCAUUGUGAUUGUGAAAGUCUCUGUUGUUGUUGAUGUUUC
ensembl:lncRNA